UUUGGUGGAAUAUAUACAUGUGGUUGAACAUUACGUCAUAUCGACGUCUUUUGUAGGUGAUUUUAAAUACGUAAGAUUAAUGACGUUAAAAUACGUUUAAAAGACGUUUUCAUUUCAGCCAGCCUAAGUUUGACGUCAUGAAAUUGGGAGGAUCUUGGAGCUUAAAAGUUACAAAACUAAGGUUAUGUUUGUAUCGUCGUUGUCGUUUGUCGUUUCAUUUCAUUGUUUGUUUGUCCUAGUAUUUUGCCUAUUUUGGAAUUUUGGAUUCAUUUGGAUUUUGUUGGCUCUUUUGUGUGUAUUUUUUAAAACUUUUGUUUGUCAUUUGUGAAUUUUAUAAAUUUAUCAAAAUGCAAAGUGAUUAUUUAAGGAAAUUAUUAUUGGAAACUCCGCAGAUGUUUUAGAAAGAUAUUCAUUGAAGCUGAAAAUAAUUGGAGAUUUAGAUCCAUAUACAAUUCAGUCAUCAGAAUUGGAUUUUACAGUGCAUUCCAUCAAUUACUGUUAUAAUGCUAUUAUAGAUAGACUGGUAGAGUCUCACAGUUACUACUUUAAGCAGCAGAUGAAAGCAUACAAAAGCCUUCAGGCACAUAAAAGCCUUCACAACUGGAUUUGUUUUAAAACAUUUGAUGUUUUGAUGAUUUCUAUAUUAUUGUUGGAAAGGUGAAGAAUUCCCAAAAAGCUAAUGCUAAACCACUAGAAGCUUGGGUGAUAGCCAGUUCCAAUGGCAUAGCAAAUGCACAUUGUAUGUGUAUGGCCGGUAAUAGUGAAGUUUGCAGCCAUAUUGCAGCAAUCUUAUUUGCAGCUGAGUAUGCCCACAGCAAGACAGAAGAAGAAGAACCCAAUGCAUGUACAUAUGUUACAGCUAUGUACAUUCUCUGGUGAAAAACUAAUGAGUUUUCAAGCUGUUCGGUCAGAGUGCUUGUUGUGCUCUCUAAACGAACUGAAAUAUAAGACUGUUUUGGCUUCAUGUUGCAGCGAUAUGAAAAUGGUUAGUCAUUUUUAAUUAUAAUGUACUUCUUCAUCAUGAGUAUUUAUGUAUAGGGCUUUUCAUUCACAGUCAUUUGUUUCGAGCUUCUGUCAUGUGUCACAUAAUAUUAAUAUAUCUACGUCAUACGUUAUUGGUAUAUACCAAUGAUACACACCAAAGACAUAUGGCGUAGAUAUAUUAAUAUUAUGUGACACAUGACAGAUGCUCGAAACAAAUGACAGUCGAUAAAAAGCCCUAUUAGUCUUUUAAGUGUGUAUUAUCAGAUAUCACAUGUAAAUUGUUUUUAUCAUUUUAAUUUGGUCAUUACAGUCCCUUAAUCAAAAAAUAUAUUUUUCAGGUGUCUGUGGAUCUUUUUGUAUGCAAAAAUUUGUAAUAAUUGUUUGAAAUCAUUUUUAGGAUUAUAAGAGUCUGGAAAUAUAUGUGAAAACACAGACUAUUAUAGUUUUAUCCUAUUUUUUAUCAUUCAAUCGUCUUCUUUAAAAUUUAUAAAUAUAAAGCAGAUAGUUUUCAUUGAAAUUCAAUAUAUUGGGUCUUAUUUGUAUGUAUUCAUUUUUGACUAAAGGUACGAUUCCGAUAACGACUGCAGACAGCAACUGCAAACAUCAGUUGAAGUUCUCGGCAUUAUGGACGUUACUACUUUGCACUAUUUAUCUGUAUGAGACUGAUUCCGACAUCUGACUGCAACAACUGCUGUCCGACAGAACGUCAGUUGCUAAUAAUUAUGGAAAUUAUUAGUGCAAAAUAAUGACAUCUGUCAUCAUGGUGACAACUGUAACUGCCAUCUGCAGUCGUUGUCGGAAUCGUACCUUUAAAAUGUGUGGUAUAAUUAUAUAUAUUAUAUAACUUAAAUGGUUUAAACUUAAGUUUGUUAUUACAUUGUGACUUAAAUGUUUAAUUUGUUAAUAAAUGAUUUAUUAGUUUA